GCCGACGUAGCUCAAUUGGUAGAGCAGCUGAAUCGUAAUCAGCAGGUUGCGGGUUCGAGUCCCAUUGUCGGCUCCA
rnacentral:tRNA from 1 species